AGCUGUUUCCUGACUUUUUUCUAUAUGGACCUAUUUCAGCUCUGGCAUAGAUAUUCCCCUGUUGUCAACUUAGAGUUGAGGAUCUUAGUCCUCAGUGAAGAGGAAGGAAGACAGAAUGAAAUCCUUGAGUGUUUCACUAGUGGUCCUGUGGCUUCAGCUAAAGUGGGUGAACAGCCAGCAGAAGGUGCAGCAGAGCCCAGAAUCUGUGAUUGUCCCAGAGGGAGCCAUGACCUCUCUCAACUGCACUUUCAGCAGCAGUUCCUCUUACUCCUUCUGGUGGUACCAACUGCAUCCUGGGAAAGUCCCCAAGGCACUGAUGUCCAUAGUCUCUGAUGGUGAAAAGAAAGAAGGCAGAUUCACAAUUCGCCUCAAUAAAGCCAGCCUGCAUGUUACUCUGCACAUCAGAGACUCCCAGCCUGAUGACUCUGCUCUCUACUUCUGUGCAGUGAGCACACAGUGCUCCCCAGGCACCUGCAGCCUGCACACAAACCUACUGCACAGCAUCUAGACCUGACAUACAUCA